CCCAAAUCCACAAAACAUACAUUUUUCUCAGUAUCACAUCACACCUAUUCUAACAGUGACCACAUAAUUGGAAGUAAAUCACUCCUCAGCAAUUGCAUAGCAUUUCACAGGUUUAAAUAAAAUAUUGGUGGGCUCCUUGUUUGUUAUUUUCCUCCAUUAUUCCUUCCUGUCUCCAUUGUUAAGCACAUAUAUUGGCAUAAAAGAGGUUUUUAAUACCCAUUUUUAGUCUGCAUUCUAGCCUGGGCAAUAGAGCAAGAUUCCCAUUCUCUCUCCCUCUUUCUCUUCCUUUCUUUCUCUCUUUUAUUUAUUUUCUUUCUUUCUAUCUCCUUUUCUUUCUUUUCUUUUCUUUCUUUUUCUUCCUUUGUUUUUUCUUGAAAAAAAUUUUUUUUCAAAAUAAAACAAAGAUUCAAAUCACAUAAGAGAGGCCCAGGAAGAAAAUUAAGGGAGAGAAAGUAGUCAACAAACCCAAACACAUACAGACACAUGCUCGCGUUUGCACACGGGAUGAUUAGGCGCUGUGAUGGUUAUUGUGGAGUGUCACCUUGGUUGAAUUGAAGGAUGUAAAGUAUUGUUUCUGGGUGUGCCUGUGAGAGUGUGACCAAAUGAGAUUAACAUUUGAGUCAGUGGACUGGGAGAGGCAGACCCACCCUCAAUCUGGGUGGGUACCAUCUAAUCCAUCGCAUCAGCUGUCAGUUUGGCUAGAAUAAAGCAGGCUGUAGAAUUUAGAAAGAGCAGAGUUGGUGAGUCUUCCAACCCUCACUUUUCUCCUGUGCUGGAUGCUUCCUGUCCUUGGAUAUCAGACUUCAAGUUCUUCAGCUUUUGGACUCUUGGACUUAGACCAGUGAUUUGCCAAAGGCUCUGGGACCUUGGGCCGCAGACUGAAACCUGCACGGUCAGCUUACCUUCUUCUGAGGUUUUGGUACUCAGACUGGCUUCCUUGCUCCUCACCUUACAAACAGCCUAUCGUGGAACUUCCCCUAGUGAUCAUAACAGGAUCACAUACCCAUCGCAGGUAAGUCAUUGGCGAGGAGCAACAAGAUUGUCAUAACCACUUUACAUGAAAAGUGACCUACAUCCAGGAGCCGAGUGCAUUGGCAUGGAAGGUAAGCAACCAACAGAGUCUGUCACAGGUAUGUGUAGCCCCUUCCACAGCCAAGCAUGUAAUAGAGAUCCUACUAUAUAACUAAAUGGUGGUAACUAAAUACCUGUCCCCAUUUUCUAUUUCUCUCUUAGUUUCUUCCUUUCUGUCUUUCUCUCAAUUUCUGUAACACACACACACACACACACACACCCUGAACUAAUGAGCCAUGAGGCCAGAAAGCCAGAUAAUGCCAAAAGGUGUGAGUUCCAAAGCAAUCCUAAGACUACCGCCUCCCUGCAGUUAAAGUGUCUUGUCCACAAAUGUAUGUGUGGCUAUAGGAUUUCAUUUCCAUACUUUAGUCUUGCAAACUGAUAUUGAAGCUGAUGAAAAAAGAUGAUUAUAGGCUUUGGCACUUGAGUGUCCCCAUGGAUUUAUCUACAAACUAACAGGUCCUUUUCUGCAUAAAGAGGCACCACCUCUAAUGUCAAUAGAAAAAAACAAAUGCCACUACUCAUUGUCCCCAGCUGGGAUCUGACAAAGAUGAGUGGGAAACCAAGAAGACAAGAGAGGAAAGCAAUUUUAUUCUCUGUUGAGAACUGUGAAACUCUGAAGGCUUAGGUCUAAAGGUUUCACAGAGACCCCCAAAUAUCAUUUUCAUCUAUUAAUUGCCCAUUAGCCCUAUUGAGCUCUCACUUCUAGCAAAUGCUGGCUUAAUAGUUUCUGCCAUCUACUUCACAUCCCACAAAGAUUAUGCUAAGAAGAUUAUAAAAGCUCUGGAAUGAAAAGGUCAGAACAAUGCUCCAAUCCCAAGAUCCAAGAGCUCAGGGAUAAUAUGUACAACCCCUCACCUCUGUCAAAUUGUCUUUUGGACACAAUGCCUCUUUCAAAAUAGGAAGCAAGAGGUCACACUUCUCUUUUUAGCAUUGGUCCCUACUAAUUACACAUAUAUUGC
rnacentral:lncRNA from 13 species